CCUACGGGAGGCAGCAGUGGGGAAUAUUGGACAAUGGGCGAAAGCCUGAUCCAGCCAUGCCGCGUGUGUGAAGAAGGCCUUCGGGUUGUAAAGCACUUUCAGUGGGGAAGAAAGCCUUGGGGCUAAUACCCUCGAGGAAGGACAUCACCCACAGAAGAAGCACCGGCUAACUCCGUGCCAGCAGCCGCGGUAAUACGGAGGGUGCGAGCGUUAAUCGGAAUUACUGGGCGUAAAGCGCGCGUAGGCGGUCUGAUAAGCCGGUUGUGAAAGCCCCGGGCUCAACCUGGGAACGGCAUCCGGAACUGUCAGGCUAGAGUGCAGGAGAGGAAGGUAGAAUUCCCGGUGUAGCGGUGACAUGCGUAGAGAUCGGGAGGAAUACCAGUGGCGAAGGCGGCCUUCUGGACUGACACUGACGCUGAGGUGCGAAAGCGUGGGUAGCAAACAGGAUUAGAUACCCCAGUAGUC
rnacentral:rRNA from 1 species